CUGCGCGUGGCUUCUGCUCCGGAUUGAGUAAGGUCCAGCAGCAAUCCUGCAGACGCCCCCUUUGGUCCACCGAGGGUGGCAAUGCCCUGGAAACUCCAGGCUUGAGGGCAGGGCUGGGACAUGACUAAAAAGAGGUGAGCAGCUGCACGGCUAUCGGAAUCCCUGUGCAGGAAUCCGUGUGCUGAUCGAUCGGAGCCGCAGGACCAGAGUGCAGCUGUCUCUGGUGAGAACCUGCUGCCAGUGCCUGGUGUGUUCCUUCUUCCAGCAGAUUCCUGUCCUGGAAUCCAGAGAACAGCUUCUGACCUCAAAGCUGAGCACAAGCUCCAGCAAGACACCACUGUCCCUAAGUGAGAGGCCUGCUGUCUCCCCAGGCAGAGCAUUCUGGCUCAGCCUGAGAUGAGAUGAAGAACCACAAUUGACCCAGAGAUCUCUUAGCCCAAUGCCAGCCAACUGGUGUCACCCACACCAGCACCCUGGGUUUCUCCUGCAUCACAGCAGAGCUGAUGGGGAGCCAGGUCCCAGCCCUGCUGUCCACAUCCAGCUUGGGGGGCCCGGUCUGCAGCUGGGACCUGUGAGCUGGCGGGACUGCAGUACAGGGUAGGGGUUUCUUGUGAUGGUGUCUAUGGCCCCUUAGCGAUGACAGGAGAGGAGACUGCAGGUUUCUGUGAAAAUCGCUCUCUUGCUUUGGGCUGGGGUGAUUCUGAAUUGUAACGAGCUUUCAAUGCUGGCUGCAGGACCCUCUGGGGGUGCACUGAGAGCACCCUGGUCUGCAUUUCCCCCACUCUUCUUCCACACCCCAAGUGUCCUCAGGGUCCCUAAUACAGCAGGUGGCCUCGGCCUGGAGUCCACUGCUGCUGACCAGACUAAGACAAAGAGAGGAGAAUAGCUGUGCUGCCCGAGGUGGAAAACAGAUGGCUCGGUGGCCCCCGGGAUCCUUAGCAAAGAGAGGAGGAGAAGGGGUGCAGGACAAAGCUGAAGGGCAGGCCCAAGAAGCCAGCUGUUCGCUGGGCCUGGUGGUGCACAGCUGUAACCCCAGCACUCUGGGAGGCUGAGACAGGAAGCCAGAGCAAGCGAGUUAGCAACUCACCAAGAUCCUGUCUCAAAAUACAAAAUAGAAAAGGCUGGGAAUGGGGGCUCCAUGUGAAGGAAAAGCCUGGGGUUCCAUCCCCAGUACAAAAAACAAAAACAAAAACAGCAACAACACAAUAGCAUCCGGAAGCCUGAAACACGGGGUUUAAACACCAUUGAAUUUUGACUCUGACAGAAGUCUGACUCUGCUCCUUGGUCCCUGGGGAAACUUGGCAAGGGCUUUUUACUCUGGAAGCCACUGUUUCCCGUCUCCGAGGUGCUGACCCGUAGAAAUGCUUCACGUGGGGAACGCAGUUUGGUAUUUAAACAUGUUUCUUGCAGCGUGCCUUGGAGACGUGAUUCCCAACUUGAGGUGAUUUUGUUUCCGAAGACACUUUUGCCCAUGUCGGAAUUGUGCUGUGUCAGCAGCACAACGAUGGCAAGACUGCUACCCAGAGAAGGCUGCCCAGUGACCUGCGUCCCCGUGAGGAGCAGGGAGGGGCUCCCCACCCAGCAGAGAGGGCUCUGCCCCAGGAAGCCAGGCAUACACUGCUGGAGAGCACCAGCAAUUGGGAAGCAAAUAUAUAUUUUAAUAUGUGGCAUGAUAAAAUUAUAGUUCAUGCCCUAAAAAAACAACAUGCUAUAACUGGUAAUAAAUUAUUUUGUUGAGUAUUUAUUGACACUGACAGUGGAGUUAUAACCACAUAAAUCUGUUGCAAGCCUACAA